AGCAGCCGCGGUAAUUCCAGCUCCAAUAGCGUAUAUUAAAGUUGUUGCAGUUAAAAAGCUCGUAGUUGAAUUUCGGAAUCAGUAUGUCGGUCGUGCCUCUGGUAUGUACUGGCGUCACUGGUUUCUCCCUUCUGACGAACCAUCAUGCUAUUAAUUUAGUGUGGUGGGAAAUCAGGACUGUUACUUUGAAAAAAUUAGAGUGUUUAAAGCAGGCUCACGCUUGAAUACAUUAGCAUGGAAUAAUGAAAUAGGACGUUGAUCCUAUUUUGUUGGUUUCUAGGAUUGACGUAAUGAUUAAUAGGGAUAGUUGGGGGCAUUAGUAUUCAAUUGUCAGAGGUGAAAUUCUUGGAUUUAU
rnacentral:rRNA from 1 species